AGUGAAGUGCCUGAAUAAAAGGAUUAUUUUGAUAGAAUAAAAAAUGUGAGCCCGCCACCUUCACUU
rnacentral:tRNA from 1 species